CACAAAGAUUAGCAGUGACAAGAUGCAAGGGCCAGGCUUGAAUUAAAAGAAAAAUCCGAGGCUGGGACUUGGGGAACCAACCAGGAAAUCAACUAGCAAGCCUUCCUGGUGAGCUGUAAAAGCUGCACAUGUUCCAGAGAAAAAAAGACAGCUCCUCCAGUGAGCCUGACAAUCAAGCACCAUCCAUAUCUCACUCCCCCAGCCUGCAAUUUAGCAACUGGCUGGUGUUGAGGACAGCUGGAGUUGAUAGCAACUAAGCAUACGUAAAGAUAAGACAGCUACUACGAAGAGAAUGACAAGCAUUAUGGCUGUCAUUGACUUCCUCAAUGUCAGGUCUUGAAGACCUAAAAAGCCUUCAUCAUCUGUCGUGAUUUGAUUAGUUCUAUAAUGUUCAGUAUGUAUUCAAUGUGUGUGAAGAUGGGGACAACUAUUUGGAAGAAAACUACAGACAAUAAGAUAGAGAGUAAAGAUUUCCAGUAGACUUGCUUUGAAAUCUAUGUUUCUUUAAAGUUUUUUUUUCCUUUUGAUCUGUUUUGUUCUAUUUUGUUAUGUUUAAUUUUACCCUUUAAAAUAAAAAAAGAAAAUAAACUGAUGGGAAAAGAAGCCAAAAAACAAAAGUAAAGUGAGAAAAGAAGAUUCUGGAUUAGAUUUAACAGGUUAAAGUCAUUUUUCUUUUUGAAAAUGUUAUAUUACUUGGCAUAUAUUUCAGGGUAUUCCUUGGAAUACUAUGAAUCUCAUCCAAGAUCAUUUCAACAGGGCCUAAUGCCAAGAUAAGAAAUUUUAGAGAUUGAUCAGUGAUGAUUUUCUCUUCCAGAGAAGCUUUAUUCUGAAGUUGAGCUUCCACAUAGCAUUUCUUAAUUUUUUAAUUUUUUUGGUGCUUCAACCUCUGAAUCAUAUUUUCAUUUCGGAUGAGAAGUAAAUGAACACAGCUGGUUCUUGCAUUAUCCUCAAAAAUUUUUAGAUUAGGCAACACUUCACAGAAAAAAAAAAGUGAAACAAACCAAAUUUCUUAGGAAUGUGUAGAUUCUUAUAAAGGAGCUAUGUCAGAUACAUAUGCCAAACUUGCUAGGUGAUAGCUGUACCUUAAUCAUAAUUAAAAUAUCAUUAUUAAAAUGUAUCAGGCUUCACACUGCUCAGAGCUUCCAGACAGAGAUAAAUUGUUGUCAAAAUCUCUGUGAACACAGAUUUUAAAAUGGAUCAAGGAAUUUAGUAUCAUUUUUCUGCAGUGUUAAUCUAAAAGAUAAGGAAAUGUUUUGAAAUGAUUCCUCCUGUGUGCACCAAAUAUAUGGUGUGUUGAGUACCCGAGAGGCCUUCCAAUCUCUGCCUGCUGCCUUACACUGGAAUAGUAUCACAAUUUUGCAACACUCCCAAGGAAACUUCACUUCAGAAACAUUUCCCCACUAUUUUAUCUGCGUUUGCUCAAGGAACUGAAGUCAUCAUGUCCUGAGCUGAGUGCCAUAUGUGAGGUCUCUAACCAGCACACAGAAAACUGUAUAGCACCGUUAUUCAGUGCCUCCUGCCAUCUGCAAGCCUGUGGAAUUCAGGUGCCCACAGGAAGGAAUGGAGAAGUUUUCCAGCUUGACCGUAUCAGCAUCUCACCACAAGACCCUUCUGUUUUGGCUGAAGUCCUUCUGUGGGACUCAGGCUGUUCUUUAUGACCACAUGCAAGACAGAGGAAAGGAAAGAGAACUGACAGAAGUCUUAUGUCAGACUUCCGGGAGAACAUGGCGGACAUAUAAGAGCAGCUACGGAGGCUCUCUGAGAUUGCCAGUUUAAAAUCCAGGAGUCCUAAGCAAGGGGAGAUAUACCCUGCUGACCCAAGAGUGAACUAAGCUGAGAGAAACCAACUGGAAAUGCAAUCCUGGUGCUAUAACCGGAACAGAUAAAAUCUCAGCACCAAAGCUGGAACCCCCACCAUUGGAAGCCGCCAUUUGAAUUUCCUGUCACUGCUGCUGUGUCUGAAUUGGCACAGCAGGGACAGAGAUGUGCAAAAGCUCUGAGAGUGGGAGUCAGUGAAUGGGGUUGAGAGCAGGACUGGCGGCGAGCCUUGCAUCAACCUGCGGGGAGUGAGAGGAACGGGGACUCUUCCAUAGACUAGGAGGCUCCAACAGAGGACAUUCUGGGACAUUCUGGAACAGGAUGCUGCAGUGAGUUUAGUUGCAUAUUCCCCUCUCAAGCAGGAUUGGUGGGGAGCACAUGACCUGGGUGACACCACGGACUAAGAUCCAGUAGGCUAGCCCAAACCAGGUCCCAGCACCUUGGGGUGCACCCUAGCAGUGAAGCUUUCAGUAACUUGACCUGGAGGGGCGGGCCCAGCAGAGGCUGCCCAGGUCUGUGUCUCUAGUACACUGCAGUGGGCGGGAACACCUAGCGGCAGAUGCAAACAAACUGUAACCGACAGAAAAAUAACUGGCCCUCCUAUAUAUGCUUGUAUGGAAGGAAUAAAAUGUAUGAGAAGAGAGAGCAACAAGAAAGGUUCCUCAGUCCCCAAUCCUGAGAACACUGAUCCAGGAAAAGUAAAUGCAAAGGAGAAUGAGGACAGAAAACAUGCAGUAUCAGACACAGCACCAAUAGACAUAAAAUGAUAUCUCUGGUGUCUCAUAGACGAGUUCAAAAGUGAAGUAUUUAAUGAAAUAAAGCAAGAUAUAAGUAGAAUAGUUAGAGAAAUGCUAAGCACUGCUCAAGAAAAAACAGAUGGUGGAAUGGAAGGACAGAAAAAAAGGGGAGAAUUGUUUGAUGGAGAAAAUAGAAAAAACAUAAAAUACGUGAAGCAGGUUCAAAGAGAUUACCAGGAAACUAAAAACUCUAUGGAAAGCUGGCAUAACAGCUUGAAAGAAACUAAGGAUAGAUUAUCUGAACUGGAGGACAGAUUUGUAAGGUGGGAGCAUGAAAGGAAAAACUUCUUAAAAAUAACAAGGAAACAAACAGCAAUAAUACAAAGGCUAGAAGAUGAUAAGAGGAUCUACAACUUAAGAAUUAAGAACAUAAAAGAAGAAGUAAGGACACAAACAAAUGAACUAACAAAAGCUAUUCACAAAAAUAAUCCAGGAGAAUUUCCCUAAUUUAGCAAAAGGUAAAGAUACUCAGAUCUAUGAGGCAUACAGGACCCAGCCACCUACAACCCAAACAGAGCUACACCCAGGCAUAUAAUAAUCAAAAUUCCAGAAAUCCAAUAUAAGAACAGAAUAUUAAAAGCUGUCAGAGACAAGAAAAAAAUCACUUACAAGGGAACACCCAUCAAAAUCAGAGCAGACUUCUCAGCACAAAUCAUCAAAUCAUGAAGAGCAUGGGGGGAAAUAAUUCAAGCUUUGAAAGAUAAUAACCUCCAGCCAAGAUUGAUAUAUCCUGCACAACUGUCCCUAGAAAUUGAUGGAAAAACAAGGUGCUUCCAGGAUAAAGAGGAACUAGGGGAAUUUGCAAUCACCAGUUCAACUCUACAGAGAAUACUGCAGGACAUUCUAGAAAAGAAAAAUACCAAGAUUCCAGAAACAGUGGCAGAGAGGCCACAAUGAAUGGAGCAGAAAGCAAAAUGAAAAAGACAAACUGACAAUUAAUGACAGAAAAAGAGCUCAACAGACAUGAGGCAGAGAAGGUUAGAUGGUAAGACCACAGCUAUUUUGGAGAAAACAAUACAUAACAAUAGAUAGUGCUGAUUUAAUAUCAUCUUGUUUUGAAGUCCCAUCAAGCUGUUGUUGUUCUGUCUCCAUCGGUCUUAACAUGUUGGAUCUUAUUGGAUUUUAUUAUAUAUGAUAAUAUAAACAAAAACUUUUAUAGACAAGGAGACUAUACAGAAACCAUUGUUCAUUUUCUGUUAGUUGAUUCUAAAUACCCUGUAAUACUGUCAUUCCCUUGAAAUGUUUUCCAUUGUCUUGAUAUGUUUGAUGCUACAGUAUACAAAGUUAUACUCAAAGAUUUCAAGGAAAGAGACACUAUGGCAACUACUUUUAUGUUGGGAUUAUCUUGUGGUGAAACACUAUUUUGCUUAAAUCAUUAUGUUUUGAUCUGCACUGUUUUGUUGUUAUGCCCUCUCUUAUGUCAUUCUCCUUUUUUUACUAUUUACUUUUUUGUUUUUAUCCUUUUAAUUAAGGGAAAAAUAAAUAAAUAAUAGCAGGAUAUAUUAUAGUAACCUACUUUGAUUUCUAUUAACUUGAUUUGAAGCCCUGUAUUGCUCUCACCAUCUUGUUUUGACUGAUUUUCCUCUAUUCUGUUUUGCUUGAUUGUACCAAGUUCGAAAGUAUAGGCAACAACUGUGAAGACAAUAAGAUUCAUUAUGACGUCCAUUCUGGUUGACUACUAUCUUCUUUUGAAGACCUGUAAUGUCUCCAAUAUUUUGGUUUUAUUGGUUUGUUCUUUACUGUUUUGUUCAAUUUUAUUAUAACUGAUGACAUAGGCAAUUCUUUUUAAAGAUAGCAAGAGGCAUUAUGGUAACCAUUAUUGAUCACCUUAUAUUUUGUUUUUACAGUAUGUAUUAUGUCCAUCCUUUUGAUUUGACUGACUCUGUUCUGCUAUGUCACAUUUGGUUUUACUCUUUUAAAAAAAAAUAAUAAGAACUGUGGGAGUAAUAAAACCCAAAAUGUGUAAUUGUCAUUGUACAAAAGGGAGGAAAAGAAAGUGCUCUAAAGGACAUAACUGCAUGUAUAUUUAAGUGUAUAAGAUAAAUAACCAUAUUACUGAUGUCUGUUGGAUCAUUGGACAGAAUUGUUUGCAGUUUUACUGUUUGAAUGUCCACUUUAUAUGCUUUAAUUUUGUAACUUGAACAACUAUUUCUAAGAUGACAAUAUGUAAUCUAUUAAUUAGUGAUUUCCUAUUUAUUUUUUCUG